GCGGAAAAACGACUACGCAUGCGCGGCUCUAGCUAAAUCCAAGAUGGCGGCCGGUAAACUGCUGAAAAGUGCUCUAUGGAAAAAUUACUUUUAAACCGCCAAAAAUGUUUUGUCUGUGGUCGGGAAUCCUCCUGGAAGCUUCUUAGACAUAUGUCUUUCGGAGUGAGUAGUCUUUUCGAAGACAUUUUAUCGACUUCGCCAAAAAUAUCGCGUUCUAUUUCGGUGUUUUGAUCGCAUUCUUCCCCGUCUGCCGAUCCGUUGACAACACAUCGAAAAUCGUCUUUUUUAAGGAGCUGUUUAAGUUUAUAAGCUUCAUUUUUUACCAAAAGAAACUUAGAUAUAUGCUCUACAAUAUAUCAAAAAUGAUUUUUAAAUCUCGAAUAUGAAUUUUCACAAUUUACAUUUGAACUCGACAAUGCACUUGAUAUCAUGUGAUAUCGCUUCAGAUAUACUUACUGUUCGACCACGUUACUCUUCUGCUACUUUUCGAUGGAAUCGAUUUUUUAGGGAUAUCUUGAAUUCGGUGGAUGAAUAAAACGAUGAACUCUUUGGAGUGCUUGGCAUAUCGUCUUCGUCAUUAUCAUCAUCAGGAUCCUCAUCGUCACCAUCAUCAAGGUUGUCGUCGUUCUUUUCUAGAAGCCCAAUAUUGAAAGUAGUAGAAACUGUGGAGAUUUUAGACAAUAGGUUUGGCAAACACACUGGACAACUUCCAUCAGGCAUGCAGUGGAUAUGAAAUGAGUGACCACAAGUUAACAGUCGACAAUAGUCAUGGUCUUGGACUACACAAUUGUUUGCAUCACAAAGCUUUUCAGGAUCUGGUUGAUCCUUAUCCCAGGCAUAGCCAAGGGGAAGACUCCUCUGGUCAACAGUAGCAUCAAUUGUAGCUUAAUUGCCUACCUGAGCAAUCAUCUUUUUCUGGAAGUACCAGGUUGGCCAGUCUCCAGUUGUAUACAAAGCAAAAUUCUUCAUAUAUUCUUGCAUCUGAGGCACCAAAGCCACAUGGCAUACUGCUUCCUUGUGUUCUGCACACUGUUGUGCAUUUCUCAUUUCAAAUUGUGCAAACUGCUGAGGGAGGCUUGAUUGAAAGAAGGUUGAGAAGAGACUAAUACACUUAUUGGAAAACAGCUGCUGUAUGGAGACAAUAUCAAUUCCUCCUCUACAUUGCUGGUUCUUUACAAGCACAUUUGUAUGCAGAUUUGUAGUCAAGGGUAUUGCAUUGAUUUUUUGGUGAAUAUCAACAAUCUCUGUGGCCAUAUGAAUUGCUUUGCUAGUUUGUGAUGCUUUUGGAUCUUGGAUGGUGUGCACAGCAUGAAAGUCAUCAAUUACCAUUAAUAUGAACUUCUUGUUCUAUAAAGAUUGGUGUACCAAAGUUAUAAAUAACGAUAUUGCAUUCAUAAAUGAGAGUAGAAUGCACACGAUACAUAAAAAUGAAGAAGUACUAGUAAGCAUAAUUAUAACACUGUUUUUCAAUCCUUGUUUUUUGCAGAUUAAUUAUUGCAUGCACCCUGAUAUUUUUGCAUAAUGUAAUGUUGAUAUUAUAUUAGAUAUCUUACCCUAAAUGCUUUAUCAAUUUCUUCCUUAGUUAAAUGUAAACUUGCAGUGCUCAAUUCCUUUUUGCGAUUCUGCACUGUUCGGGGAUGAGCAGAAAAUCCCAUUUGCAUUCCAGCCAUCAAGGCUUGUUGAGAUGCCCCAUGAGUUGACAAGUGAACACCACAGUCCAGCUGUAGCUUGUUGUUUUUCUAAAU
rnacentral:lncRNA from 1 species